UACGUAGGUGGCAAGCGUUGUCCGGAAUUAUUGGGCGUAAAGCGCGUGUAGGCGGGCCGUUAAGUUGGGGGUGAAAGCCCGAGGCUCAACCUCGGAACUGCCUUCAAAACUGGCGGCCUGGAGCAGAUGAGAGGCGAGUGGAAUUCCGAGUGUAGAGGUGAAAUUCGUAGAUAUUCGGAGGAACACCAGUGGCGAAGGCGACUCGCUGGCAUCUUGCUGACGCUGAGACGCGAAAGCGUGGGGAGCAAACAGG
rnacentral:rRNA from 1 species